rnacentral:rRNA from 1 species
CACAUGCAAGUCGAACGGAGUACCCUUGAUUGAGGCUUCGGCCAAUUUCUUGGACUACUUAGUGGCGACGGGUGAGUAACACGUGAGUAACCUGCCCUUGAGUGGGGAAUAACACACCGAAAGGUGUGCUAAUACCGCAUAACAUAACGGAAUCGCAUGUUUCUGUUAUCAAAGAUUUAUUGCUCAAGGAUGGGCUCGCGGCCGAUUAGAUAGUUGGUGAGGUAACGGCUCACCAAGUCGACGAUCGGUAGCCGGACUGAGAGGUUGAACGGCCACAUUGGGACUGAGAUACGGCCCAGACUCCUACGGGAGGCAGCAGUGGGGAAUAUUGGGCAAUGGGCGCAAGCCUGACCCAGCAACGCCGCGUGAAGGAAGAAGGCCUUCGGGUUGUAAACUUCUUUUACCAGGGACGAAGAACGUGACGGUACCUGGAGAAAAAGCAACGGCUAACUACGUG